AGCGUGUUGUAGGUGACGUGCUGCGAGAAGUCGAAGUACUUCUCGGCAAGCACCGUGAAGUCCGGCGGCGUACGGAACACACUCCGUUCGUGCAUCAUCAGCACGUCUCUCUUCAUGGCGCAAAUUGCUGCCGGUACUAAGUCAAUCCAAGCCUACGCGCUCUUUUGGUGCGUGUUUUGAUGUCUGCUGCUGGCUCCAGCAACAAGUUGUUUCACUUUUGCCCGCAUUCAUCUACUACUGGGAGAAAUGUCCACUUUGCGAUACAUCGCUCGAUCUCUCGUAAACUCUAGGGUUUGCAGCACGCGCCUUAUAAGUACUGGCGGACCCCCGACAAACCAAGAUUUACACUCGCACGGGUGAUAA
rnacentral:lncRNA from 1 species